rnacentral:tRNA from 1 species
GGCUAGGUAGCUCAGCUGGUUAGAGCACAGCAUUCAUAAUGCUGGGGUCGCGUGUUCAAGUCACGCUCUAGCUACCA